UACGGGGGGGGCAAGCGUUGUUCGGAAUUACUGGGCGUAAAGGGCGCGUAGGCGGCCUGCUAAGUCGAACGUGAAAUCCCUGGGCUCAACCCAGGAACUGCGUCCGAUACUGGGAGGCUUGAAUCCGGGAGAGGGAUGCGGAAUUCCAGGUGUAGCGGUGAAAUGCGUAGAUAUCUGGAGGAACACCGGUGGCGAAGGCGGCAUCCUGGACCGGCAUUGACGCUGAGGCGCGAAAGCCAGGGGAGCAAACGGG
rnacentral:rRNA from 1 species